rnacentral:rRNA from 1 species
AAAUUGAAGAGUUUGAUCAUGGCUCAGAUUGAACGCUGGCGGCAGGCCUAACACAUGCAAGUCGAGCGGAAACGAGUUAUCAGAACCUUCGGGGAACGAUAACGGCGUCGAGCGGCGGACGGGUGAGUAAUGCCUAGGAAAUUGCCCUGAUGUGGGGGAUAACCAUUGGAAACGAUGGCUAAUACCGCAUGAUGCCUACGGGCCAAAGAGGGGGACCUUCGGGCCUCUCGCGUCAGGAUAUGCCUAGGUGGGAUUAGCUAGUUGGUGAGGUAAGGGCUCACCAAGGCGACGAUCCCUAGCUGGUCUGAGAGGAUGAUCAGCCACACUGGAACUGAGACACGGUCCAGACUCCUACGGGAGGCAGCAGUGGGGAAUAUUGCACAAUGGGCGCAAGCCUGAUGCAGCCAUGCCGCGUGUGUGAAGAAGGCCUUCGGGUUGUAAAGCACUUUCAGUCGUGAGGAAGGCGGUGUAGUUAAUAGCUGCAUCGUUUGACGUUAGCGACAGAAGAAGCACCGGCUAACUCCGUGCCAGCAGCCGCGGUAAUACGGAGGGUGCGAGCGUUAAUCGGAAUUACUGGGCGUAAAGCGCAUGCAGGUGGUUUGUUAAGUCAGAUGUGAAAGCCCGGGGCUCAACCUCGGAAUUGCAUUUGAAACUGGCAGACUAGAGUACUGUAGAGGGGGUAGAAUUUCAGGUGUAGCGGUGAAAUGCGUAGAGAUCUGAAGGAAUACCGGUGGCGAAGGCGGCCCCCUGGACAGAUACUGACACUCAGAUGCGAAAGCGUGGGGAGCAAACAGGAUUAGAUACCCUGGUAGUCCACGCCGUAAACGAUGUCUACUUGGAGGUUGUGGCCUUGAGCCGUGGCUUUCGGAGCUAACGCGUUAAGUAGACCGCCUGGGGAGUACGGUCGCAAGAUUAAAACUCAAAUGAAUUGACGGGGGCCCGCACAAGCGGUGGAGCAUGUGGUUUAAUUCGAUGCAACGCGAAGAACCUUACCUACUCUUGACAUCCAGAGAACUUUCCAGAGAUGGAUUGGUGCCUUCGGGAACUCUGAGACAGGUGCUGCAUGGCUGUCGUCAGCUCGUGUUGUGAAAUGUUGGGUUAAGUCCCGCAACGAGCGCAACCCUUAUCCUUGUUUGCCAGCGAGUAAUGUCGGGAACUCCAGGGAGACUGCCGGUGAUAAACCGGAGGAAGGUGGGGACGACGUCAAGUCAUCAUGGCCCUUACGAGUAGGGCUACACACGUGCUACAAUGGCGCAUACAGAGGGCGGCCAACUUGCGAAAGUGAGCGAAUCCCAAAAAGUGCGUCGUAGUCCGGAUUGGAGUCUGCAACUCGACUCCAUGAAGUCGGAAUCGCUAGUAAUCGUGGAUCAGAAUGCCACGGUGAAUACGUUCCCGGGCCUUGUACACACCGCCCGUCACACCAUGGGAGUGGGCUGCAAAAGAAGUAGGUAGUUUAACCUUCGGGGGGACGCUUACCACUUUGUGGUUCAUGACUGGGGUGAAGUCGUAACAAGGUAGCGCUAGGGGAACCUGGCGCUGGAUCACCUCCUUA